UACGUAGGGGGCAAGCGUUGUCCGGAAUUAUUGGGCGUAAAGAGUACGUAGGCGGUCUGUUAAGCGCAAGGUGAAAGGCAUAGGCUCAACCAAUGUGAGCCUUGCGAACUGUCAGACUUGAGUGCAGGAGAGGAAAGCGGAAUUCCUAGUGUAGCGGUGAAAUGCGUAGAUAUUAGGAGGGACACCGGUGGCGAAGGCGGCUUUCUGGACUGAAACUGACGCUGAGGUACGAAAGCGUGGGGAGCAAACAGG
rnacentral:rRNA from 1 species